ACCCUUAGAUGUCCUGGGCCGCACGCGCGCUACACUGAGUGUCUGAGAUACGAGUCUGCCUGGUCCGGCAAGGUCCAGGUAAUCGCUAAAAGACACAUCAUGCUUGGGAUAGACUAUUGCAAAUAUUAAUCUUGAACGAGGAAUUCCUAGUAAGCGCAAGUCAACAGCUUGCGUUCAUUACGUCCCUGCCCUUUGUACACACCGCCCGUCGCUACUACUGAUUGGAUGUUUAAGCGAGGUUCUCGAACUGCUAGCGACAUAGCUUCGGUGAGGUCGCAGUGUGGGAAGUGAACCUAGCUUUGGUGUCUAGAGGAAGUAAAAGUCGUAACA
rnacentral:rRNA from 1 species